GCGAUGAAUCAUGCAGCCGCCCGGUUUAAGACCGGGAGGAAAGUCCGGACUCCGCAGGGCGCGAUGCCGGGUAACGCCCGGACAGGGGAUAUAUAAGUCCGGCGGUCCGCCGCAUCCGCGGGUUUUUCGGAACGCCCUGGCGUUUUGGAACCCCGGCGGGUGCGGGUAAACCGGCCGGGUAAACGAUCUCUCUGAUAGAAAGUGCAACAGAAAAAAAACCCCCUUUUUCUGAAAAGACAAAAGGGAAGGGUGAAAUGGCGGGGUAAGAGCCCACCCCGGCGGCGGUGACGCCGCCGGUAUUUUCCGGUAUUUUCCGGAAAAUGGCAAACCUCAUCGGGAGCAAGGUCAAGCAGCGUGUAAAAGGCCUGCCUUUUACGGUGGAGGGCUUGUCCCAGGACAAACCUUCCGCACCGGCGGCCCGCCGGUUAAACGCGGGUAGACCGCACGGAGGCAGCCGGCAACGGCUGUCCAAGACAGAUGGCUGCUAUGGCGCAGCGUGCCGGCCCCUAUGGCGGAGGUUUCCUCCGUAAUAGCUGCGGUACGGCCUGUGCCAAAAACAGAAUCCGGCUUAUGAUUCAUCGCUUUU
rnacentral:RNase_P_RNA from 1 species